CUGAAGUCUGCUUUUGUGCUCUGCAUGCCUGUUCCUCUGCCUGGCUGGAGAACCUUUUCUCCUGCAGAUGAAUUGUCCUCUUUUUAAGGUUCAGAAACUGCCUCGACUGCAAGCCAGCUCCUGGUAAAGCGCUCAGAUCAUGGGAUGGAGCCAGCAGUUGGACCCUCUCUGUGGGCACAUACCUAGAAGGGAUAUUGUAAAGUGUGAGCAAAAAGUAACCAGACUUUGUCCAAAAACAACACAAAGAAGAAAUGUCAAAGGUUAGAUAAUCUUUCUGUUUGUUUGUAUAUGUUUGUGUUGUGCUUGGUUUUUAUUGUACUUGCCAUAGAUAUAAUACAUACACAUUUAUGUAUGUAUGUAUGUAUGCGUAUGUGUGUAUAUAUAGAUAUUUAUUAUUUAAUAUCAGGGAUAAUAAUUUCUGAUUUUUAUUAUUUGUAAUUUUAGGUCUUCUCUUAACAUUUAAUUUCAGUUUGUUUAUAUUGUUAUUAGAUAAUGUUAACAUAUGUCUGAAUUGUGCAUGUGAUGAAACACACACAUUUACACAUAAAUACAUGCAUUUCCCUAAACCUAAUGUAUAUUAUAUUUGUAUUGUACUUGCAUGAUGCAGAAUGUCUCUAUAUAAAUAUUUCAUAUAUAUAUAUAUAUAUAUAUAUAUAUAUAUAUAUGUGUGUGUGUGUGUGUGCAUAUUUUAAUUAUACACAGAAUUUGUGCUUAUAGAAUACACACCCAUGUAAAUGUGCAUAAAUAUACAGUUUAAAAAAUAUUUAUACAUGAUUCUUUACUUACAUGUAUUUUGCUAUGUAACCAAUGUAACCACACACACACACACACACACACACAUACACACAUACACACACACGCACGCACACGUACACACACACACACACACACACACACACACAUUCUUGUAACAAACAGCUGACAAGCAAUGACUAAUAUGGGUCAGGGACCAGUAAUCGCUGCAGUUACCAGAAAUAUUGUUCCCUGUGGGUUUAUUUGAAGUACCAAGGCAGAAAGAGCAAAUAUUAUUAAAAAGAAUGCAUACAAAGAAACUCCCAAUGAUUCCCACUCCAGUCAUAGCUCGGGGAAUGAAGAGGACGACGAGCCAUUUAAUGAGAGUCUACAGUGUGACAUAAAAUAUUAGCACGGAAACCAAAAUAAAUCGAACCAGCCAUUAGCAUGAAGACUGAUGAAGGUAAUAACGCUAACAGUGAGAUAGACAAAGGGGUGUUUAACAUCGCCUGGCAUCACUCUGUAAAGUGACAUGUCAUUAUGACACCCUGCUGAUUGAAAUAAUUCUGACACAAACUAGGAAAAUGCCCCAUCAUAUUGUACAUUUUUAACCCAAGAAUCCCUCGAAAACACAAUUACUUUCAUGGUAAGGGAAACCCUUAACUCUUUCAUGGUUUGGGAGAGAGGUGGGUUUAACCAUUUGAGUGCCAAAUUACACCUCUGGUAAACAAAUGGUGAAUGCUGAUAAUGCUGAACACCCACCUUCCAUGUAGCAGGCAGCAAAGGGGUUAAGCCAUCAACUAUUUGGAAACUUUAGAAAUUCAAAUGUGUCUUUUGAGACACUCGAUAGAAUUGUUGAAUGUAUCAACAGCAAACACAAAGUUUAUUUAAGUUUGUCUUUUUUUUAAUGUUUAAUUUUGAUUUAGAAAAUAUAGUUUCUAGUGUGAUAGGAAAUUUGAAUAUUUUAUCAGCCUCUUUUUGGGGACCCUCAUUAAGUAGACAUCCUGCUAGGGCCUUGGCAUUAUAUGAGAACUGCCCAAUCAGAGCUUUUGCACGCCUUGUUAGAGAUGUUUAAUGAGGGCCCCCUCUUACACAGAAUGAAAGGCCCUCUCAAUAUACAUUUACCUUAUGUCAACUGGUUACUACUAAUGAACUGAGUCACAAUCGGAGACUGAAUGGGACUAACUUGCAGGGAGAGCUAUUGCUGAUUUUUCAUUAUUGACUUGGAUUUAAAAUGCCACAAUGCACUGUAUCUUAAUAUCACAAUAACACACAUGGAUUUAAAAUGUACAAACAAAUUAAAAGUGUUAUUUUAUUUUAAUUCAUGAACAACACUUAGGGAAUUACUUAAAAUAAAACCAGGAUUAAAACAGAUUUUUUUUUUUUUAAAAAGUAAUGUUAAAACAGAAAAGUUUGGGGGUAAUUAGUCAAGUCUAUUCAUUUGUCUGUGUAGGCCUAAUUUAUACCCAAUAAAGCUGUCUCCUCCUGAAUAAAACAGUACAUGAUACUGGCACUGCAAAUGUCUUUAACCCCUUAAGGACACAUAACAUGUGUGACAUGUCAUGAUUUCCUUUUAUUCCAGAAGUUUGGUCAUUAAGGGAUUAAAUUACAUUUCAGUGUGAUGUCUGACUGAGGAUCAUGGGAAUUGUAGUUCACAGACUUAUGCAGAACACCCCAUCGAAUGAUAAGGAUCCUUUAAAACCUCAGAUGCUCCUAUGACUAUAAUUUGCAGCCUGCAGCUCUUCCCUCUUCCAGUCUGUGUUGUAAAAUCAAUUAGUAUUUUCAAUGUUUAAAAGAUCCCAAGGGAUACUUGGGCCAUGACAAAAGAAUUUGAUGAAGCUUAUUUCCUAUAUCCCUUCUCCAUUAAAAAGUAGACCCGGGAGAGAUAUCUGCUAAUCAGUUCAUCUCUAAUUAAAUGACUGCACCCAUCAUCAUCCUCAACAAGGAGUGUGUUUAUGUAUGUGUGUGUGUCUGUGUGUGUGUGUGUGUGUGUGUGUGUAAAUACUAAGGUUGGGGCAUGGAAUAUAUGGGUCGAGUUGUUAAUGAGUUUAAAAAAAAUAUUUGUAUAUCACAUGAAAAACUAAUUAUGAAUGGGAUUAUUUUUUUAAUAAGAAAUAUUAAUAAUAAUAAUAAUAAGGUAUAAACUUGAAAGUUGAUUCAUAAGAAUAAUAUACGAUGUAAAACACAGACAUUCUAUUAUCUAGAUUCCUGACGCUAGCUGGGUCCAAUGCAAUAACAUUCCCUUAACAUUCUGUUUUAGAGAAGUCAUGAAUCUUUUCCCUUCACCAUCUGAUGGAAAUAUACAUAUAUAUAUAUAAAUAUAUAUAUAUAUAUAUAUAUAUAUAUAUAUAUAUAUAUAUAUAUAUAUAUAUAAUGUGUGUGUGUGUGUGUAUGUGUGUGUGUGUGUGUGUAUAUAGAGAUGUUAUAUCUAUCUAUCUAUCUAUUUAUUAUAUGUAUAUAUAUAUUUAUUAUAUAAGUACUAUAUAUAUAUAUAUAUAGAACACAAAGAAGAAAUAUCAAAGGUUAGACAAUGUUUCUGUUUGUUUGUAUAUUAUGUCUGUGUUCUGCUUGUUUUUUUUAUUGUAUUUGCCAUAGAUAUAACACACACACAUGUAUGUGUGUAUUAUACAUCCAUCAUAUAUUUCUACAGACACAUAUUAAACAUUUGAAGAAUGUAUUAUUGGUUGGUACUCCAUUCUCCAUCUUUAAUCACCUAGUCUGCUCACCCUCAAACAAUGUGUUCUGAGAAUGUUUAUUUUAGAAUGUGAAACACAUUAUAUUGGUACAUUAUGUAAUGAUGCCAAAUUGAAAGCUUUUUCUUGGGUUACAGGUUUUAGAAAAAAAAAAAAAUAAUGAUAAUAUAUAUAUAUAUAUAUAUAUAUCCAUAUUAAUGAAGACAACCAGAAAUUAUUACAGCAGCAAACGCUCCCUCCCCACAACCCCCCCCCAAAAAAAUCCCCCAAUCCUCCCUUUAACUAACACCCCCCUGACUGGGCAGGUUUGGGAAGGGGUUAUGUAAGACUGGUGUUCCAGAUAAUCUGCAGGAAAGUUUAAAGUAUCAGGCCCCAGCGAAGUGGGGCGAAUUCAGGCCAAGAAACGCCGCAGAGGAAAAUCAGAGAUAGACUUGAGUUGUUAGCAGUUAUUUUUUAAUUUAUUUUUUUAUUUAUUAUUUUUUCUGAUUUUUUUUUUUUUUACAAAGGAUCUGGAGUUUAGCGCUAGGGUUUAAUCUGUCUGUUUGAGUAGAGAUCGCUGGAGAAAACCAGGAAAAAAAUCAAGACACUUUACAGGAAACAAAGUUAUCUGAAGCACCUGCAGUUUGGGCAAUAGUCUUCACCUUCACUGAGCAUCACAUUAGCCAAAGGGCUUCACAACUGCACGUCUUACUGACUGCCUGUGCUACGUUUCAUACCUGAACCUAUAUUCCAGAGCUGACAGCCAGUGACAGGUGAGUUUAACUAGGGUAAGUUAUUUUAUUAACCCUGUGAGUGACAGAUCUGUGUGUAGGUGUGAAGCUGUCUGGGAGUGUGUGUGUUUGUAUGUCUGUGUCUGUGGGUGUUUAUUUGUGCAUGUGUGUAAGGGAUGGUCAGAGGAGAGAAAAGGGAGGGUAAACACAGCUCUUUUUUUGGAACUAUUUUUUUUUUUUUUAUUUUAUAGUUUUUUGUUAUGAUUAAUAUAACAAAUAAUGGAAACACUGAAAACUUCCUAUUCUCUGUAGAACAAUAAAAAAAUACAUACAUUUUAUCUUUUUAAAAAAAAUCUUAUUCGUUUAGUAUCUUUUCGAGUGACAUUGAUAUUAUGUGUGAAUUUGAUAUCUAUAUAGAAAUAUAUGUAUAAAUAUAUAUACACAAAUAUAUAUUUAAAAUAUAUAUUUUAUUAAAUCUCAUAUAGUAUUAGUAACUACUUUUUAAAUAUUUCUGUUAUAUGAGCCCAUUCUAUGAGACCACGAUAAUAUGAUAUCUGUUUAUUGAAUUAUACGAAACACUGGGGAAAUAAUUCGAUAUACCUUAUUAAAGUAUUACUUAGGACCAGAAUCACAUUCGCAGUAAUCAAAACAUAUAUACACCUAUUGGUUACCCAUCAUACAGCAGAGCAUAUAAAGUAACGAAUAGACUAUUAGAUAGAAUGCAUUUGCAAAAUAAUGACAUAAAGACAGUACAGCUAUAAUAGCAGUGAAUAAUAAUAUAUACAUAUGCUUGUAUGUUUAUGCAUGUAUUUUAAUUAUUCAUUUUAUACAAUUGAAAUUAAAAUUAUAUAUAUUGUCUGUAAUUAUUGGAUUUAUCGAAUUAUUUAUUUUCUAACCAUAUUUAUUUAAAAUAUAUCCUGCCUGUUUAAAUGUAUUUGACUCCCAAUCUAUAAAGGGAAUUUCACCAAUCCAGCAAAUAUUUAAAUCUAUGGCAUUAUCAUAAUGAUAUUUUUUCUGGCUCUGUACUCUGCAAAAGCAGCCGGAACCAUGCAGUUAGCUCCUGAUAUCAUAAUAUAAUACUGUCUAUUGAUAAAGAAUUCAGGUUAAAUAAAUAUGUUCUCAAUACAAAGAGAACACCUUUUGAAUAUAUGAAUUUGCAGUAUUUUAGAGGUAUUUUUUUAAUGUAAAGAUGGACUACCAUGAUGUCCUUUACUUUGAUCUGCAAUAAUCUAACAAUUAUCUAAAAGAAAACAAAAAAAAAUAAAAAAUAAAAAAUAAAUAAAGCACAUUUGUAAUAAUAUUAUUAAAGUUCCAUAGGGAAUAGAACGUUGGGAUUGAUACAAUGUUGCUUAGAAUUCUCUAAGUGGAGUGUCCGAAUCUCAGCAUUGCGUGCAAUGGGGUUUGUCUUAUUGUGAUAUUAUCAAUAUAGAGUAAGGUUGUUUGUUUAAUAAAUUUCCUCCACUGAGCUCUCCACCCCACUAACGUGAGAGCAGAACUGCCCUUCAUACACUGUACAUUGAUAUGUACAGAUGGCUAACAGGAAAGAGACAAAUUGUUUUUCUGACCUUUUGCAUACUCUCUUCUCAACAUUGUUCGUUUACAGGGCAACUAUUGCCCUGGAUUGCAGAUGUAAUAUUAAUUUCACUGCAUUAAAUCAUGCUUAUUACAGGCUAAAGACAAGUCAUGAGUUCAGUGAAAUUGCUAUUUUGUGUGUGAUUUCAGCAAGUGGCUUUUUAACAUUGAUAUUUGCCACAGGACAUAUAUAUCCCCUAAAUAGAGAUCAGAUCUACACUACUGGCCAUAGUAUGCACUCUUUAUAAACCUCUGGUUUGCUUCCUAUGGCUAGGGGCACAUAUAUAAAAUUUACACACAAAUCUAGAAAAAACAUUUUUUUUUUAAAUUAAAAUAGAACAUUUUAAUAAAAAGAAAAAUAUCAGACGGUACUGGGGAUAUAUGAAUAAAAUUUCAUACGUAACUUGCACGAAUAUCAGAAUACAGAUUUUUUUUAAUGUAAGACAAGUUAUCAAGUCAUGUUAUAAAUCAUAAAUAAAUAAAUAAAUAUAUACAUUAAGUCAUGUUGAAAAUGAUUUAAGGCUAAAGAUAAACUAGAUUUAAAAAAAAAACACAAAAAAAAAAUAUAUUUUGAUAAAACAUUUUGGAAAUCACCAUGAUGUUAAAUAAAGCAGAGAUGAUUCAUAUAUAAUAUGUCAAUGAUUCCAUAAAACAUUAGUGCAAUUAAAAAUAUUGGACCAGUUUGACAGGCUGCAUUAUUUGAAGGUCAGACUGAAAAGUCAGGGGUCGAAUCUAGAACGAAAAAGAGCUGAUAUUUAGACAGCUAUUGCUACUCAAUAUUAAGUUACAGGAUAAUGGUCGAGCUCUGCCUGCACUGAACCUGUUACUCACGAAUGAGCAGCAGCUGUCCAAUACUAUUUUCCUCUUUUGCUCUGUUUGGAUUGAGCAAUCAAUAAAUUGAAGGAUGUCUUCAGGCAGCGAUAAACAGACAGAACAAGGGGCAGGUAAAGGCUGGGCAGUCACUGCUCAUCAGGGAAGCUAGCAUUCAAUACACACAACGCUAUGUAUGUGUGCAUGUGUGUGGAUGUGAGUGAAAAAAGACAGAUAAGGGGCAAUUUUCAUAUCUUACAGCUGCCCUUAGGUGUUUUUUUUUUGGGGGGGGAGGAGGGGAGGGGAAUGGGGCUUAUAUUUCUAUACAAAUAUUUAGCCAAAAGCAGUAAGUGAAGGAAAAUAAUUAUUAAUAAAUACACAGCUACAUAAAUAAACACACACAAACACACACACACACCCCCAUAAAUAGAUAAUGUAUGUGUCUGUGUAUUCAUUGACAAUAUCACAUGGAUUGAUUGCUCUUUAUCCCAAAACAGAUACAUUCAUGGAUAUUUAAAAAAAAAAAAAAAAGAUAUAUACAUAUCUGUACUAUUGUUGCACCACUGCAAGUAUGCAUGUAAGUAUAUUUCCACCUGAAUACUGUAUUUUAAAAAAUAUAUAUUUAUUUUUUUCAAGACCUUCUGCUAUUGUAGAAAAUGAUUGCUUAACGUUUCGGCCACUCUUGGGACUUUUCCCACACGCUUCACUUCUUUACCGAGAUACAGUAUCAUAAUAGCACACGUGGGAUAUUGACUGUCGAGUGAAUCGUUUUACAAUCUCCUGGUCUCUGCCCCUGGAUCUCUUAUAUAUACAUUAUAUAUGACCUGGGUCAGUGGCCUUUUAACCCUUAGAGGAAGAGUGGCAGAACAAAGCACAAACCAAAAACAUGGGCACACUACUGGGAUCCAGUAACCGAUUAGAACUUUAUACUUUUUUAUUUUUAUUCUCAACCUGCUAUGAAUGUUAUGCAAGAAAUGGAACAGGAUCAUAAUAAUUAUUAAAUAACAAUUAAUGAAUCAGACUUUUUUCAGUAACAAGAUGAGAGUCUGUAUUUAAUAUAAUUUUUGUUGGGUAAUAUUUUUUUUUCCUGCCAGUUUUAACCAGGAGAAUGUUUGGCAAACUAUUAAACCACAUGUGAAAAUAGUUCACAGCUCACAAGGAAUGCAAAUCAGUUGUCAUGAAUUUAAAAUUAAGGCCAAAUCAUUAAUAUUUAAAAAAAAAAAAAAAAGGUUUAACUGCUGAAAUGGAGACCCCCCCCACCCCAAUUUUUAUUUUUACCUUCCAUUUUUGUAGCUGAUUCACAACUCUGCACAACUCGCUGUAUAGUCAAUAUAACCCCUUCAGUGUUUCAAGUAUAGAGAUUCACACAGAAAGUGUCACAUGGGGAGCCAUAGUGAAAUUGUAGGGGUUUUAUGGAGAGAAUCAUUAAAUAACGAAAGGCAGCCAGUUUAGCUACUUUUGAUAUUUUGGCUGACUCAGGAUAGUUAGAAUUGUAAUUCUCAUACCCAACUUUUAAAGGUAGAGAUUUGUGUCCUUCACAGCCCAGAUUUCCAAAACAGCACCUUGUAAAUGUUACAUACAUAUUGCCUGAUCUGUGAUAAAUAUACAGUAUGUUCUAAUGUAUUCUACAAUUCUACAAUGAAAUAUGUGUCCUAUUCAACAGUAUUUUACUUCUAGUGACUUAAAAAUAUGAAACAAAACAGAACUAAAUCAACCACAAAUAAACAAAUUAAGAAAAGGAAAUAAAUGUAAUCAUAUAAUCCAAAUUUAGCAUUUUGGUUGGUUGUUUGUUUUUAAGGGGGGGGAUCUAGAGAAAUAUGUAUUCUUUUGUGAUAGAGAGUUUCCAUUUAAUUGUGUAGGUUUGUGGACUUUAUCAGGACUAAAUUAGCACCUGGAAUAGUAUUUUGAUUUAUAAAUGAGAAGUGAGAGAGAAAUAAGUGAGGUGUAAAUAUUUGCCUUGCUAAUGAAACCAGUCAGUCACAGGCACAUAUAUUAGCCCUGAGCUCAGCUAAGACUAAUCUGAACAGACACUAUGGGACCUAUUUAUUAAGGGGUCUGUUCACUAAGCAGUAAGCUGUGGCCAAUUAAUGAUAAACUAGCAAAAUUUAAGGCCAAUUUAGAGCUGAAUAGGAAAACGUUUUAAAACUCAAAGAGUUUGAUCUUAAUUUUUAAAAUAGCCAACUCAGUGUUUACUGCAUAAGCACAUCAUUUUUAAGUUAAAAAACAAAACAAAAAUACAAACACAAACAAACAAACGCAACAUCAACAUCUGGAUACAUUUUAUAAAAUAUAUUUAAAAUUUGAUUUAAAUAGUUUUUACUUUUAGCUAUUUAGACAACUAUUGUUCCUAUUUAUUCACUUUGUAGGCUGGCGAAAAAAAGCAUUUUUACAUUAAAACAGCAAGUUCUCUCUCAUCCAUGUAUGGUGGUACUGUAACUUAGUUAAAUGCCUCUGGAACUGGUGUUUUGAGUGUUGAAUUCUUUGUUUAAUAUUUCAAUUGGAAAGGGCCCAGAUAUUGCUCUUCUGCAUUUAAAUUGGAAUGUUUCGUCCUCUGUAUCUAAAUGUUUAGUAAUUCACUGCUUUUUAGCAGCUAAAAUCCAACACCAUAUGUAUUAGAACCAUGUUUAUAUCUGGAAUAUUUGAUUGUAAUUUAACACAUUAGCUGAUUUUGUAUAGAGGUUCUAAUGGUAAUAACUAUUUGAUGCAAUAGUACUGUUUGCGAUACUUGGUUAUAAUUAACCACAUUAUCAAAUUUAUGUAAGUACUGUCCUUUUAAUGUCUGAUUUUAUGUUGUCCAUUUUUGUCAAUUUCUUAAAAAAUGAAUAAAGAUUAUUGGAAAAAAAACAAAACAAAAAAAACCCAGCAAGUUCUAUUAAAUAUAUAUAUUUAACCCAAUUCACUAUCAAGUUAUUUCUUUCAAAAAAUAUUGGCACCUGGGAUAAUUUGAACAUUAAAUAUUGGCUAAAAAGUUAAUUUUGUGCUCAAUUUGCAGUUUUGUAACACAUGUAUAAUUCAGUUAAUUUAGACAAUUUUAGUAUUUAUUUAUUUAUUUAUUUAUCAUUGCCUUAUUUUGAAACAUUUCAGACAAGAGUCUGAAAUAGUAGUGUAGAAGCAGCAAUAUAAUUUUUUUUCAGGCACAGAAGAAGUAACAUACCGUAAUAGAUAAAUAAAAAUUGGUAUUUUAAAAGGGAUAUAGGAGUUUCUAGGAGAGGAGAUUUUUAAAAAAAUCACCAAAAUCUAAAUAUAACAUCUGUAUGUGAGCAUAAUAUUCAAAUAUAAUGAAUACAUUUACACCAAAUAGCUGCAUACAUGCUGCUAUAGCAAGUUUAACCCCUAUUGUCCUCAGAGAUUUACCUCCCUCUUUACCUUACCUGGAUGCUAGAAUGAAGCAAUGAAGUUUGACCUUCAAAGAUUGCUGUAGAAUGCAGAGAAAUAUCUGCAGGGCCAUGGUUUAGUAUGGCAGAUUUGGAUAUUGUAAAAGUUAUUUAUAUAAUAAUUCCUGUGUGUUAUAAGAGUAUAACUCCUCUCCUCGUCUUUCUCAUGUCAUAAAACUUAUUCUAAGAAAAGCCCUUUAAUUCUACAACUUUUUAUAUGUGAAGUCAUUUAUAUAUAAACACUACAAAUAGAUCAUACAUCUGACCUUGAAAUGUUUGCAAUAUUUGAACCUAGAUUUCAUAGACUAGAGUAUCAACUUUUCCCAUUUCCUACAUUUGUUUUUAAUAAUUUUAAUCUAUUUUCCUCUAUCCAAUUUAUACUGUGUUACAGAAGACGAUGGUGAUUUAUAACCAAUAAUAUUAAUAGCAAUGUAAUAGAUGCUGAAAGGACAUGUUUUCUUCACUAGGAAUUGAACUAGUGUGAAAUGUCAAAUCACUGACAAAUUCUAGACCAAUGUAGUCAUGUUGGAAGAGUUCCCUCAAGUUAUCAUACAAUUUGGCUGAAUUAGUGCGUUUAAGGUGUCAAUGUACCUCCACUCACUGUGUAAUGAAUAAACCUCUAGAAAAGUCUGGAGAGGUUAAAACUGCAUUUUUUUCUUUAACACACAUAUUGUCACAGAGAACAUAAAAAAGUGUGCUGUGCCUUUAAGUGAUAUGUGCAUUCAUAUAUGUAUGCACAUAUCACUUAAAGACACAGCGCACUUUUUUCUUUUCUAUUUGUAUACAUAGUGCUCUCUAGAGCUAUUUUACACUUAAGUUGUGCUGCCUGCCUUUUAAGGUAUUUCUAUUUUCACUUUCAAAUUAUUCACAAACGCCUUCACUUACUUGAUAUUUUUUUGCACAUAUUGUCACAUGCACCCUUUUAUCUAUUAUAUCGUUUUUCAAGGUCUACAUUCUUACUUAUUGAAAAAAAAAAUGCAUGUAUUUUUAUCCUCUUUUUGUAUUAUUUUAUUGCUGAUAUAUAACUUAGUAUUCCUUUUCUGAGCAUCUCUGGACUUACUCUUGCUUCAUGCAGAGGUUCUCAAAAACCUCUUUGGGCAAAAUUGCCAUUUAUCUGCCAAAACAAUACAUAAUUUGAACAGCUGAAACCAGUCCAGAGUAUAUUUUUGAGAUGCCAUGCUCUUCAACAUAUGGUGUGCCAUACGGACAAGUGGUGCUUUUAACCAAAGAGAACUUAAACAUAGCUGUCUAAUGGAGCAAUAGUAUGCCAGGAUGUGCCCUGAAAGCAUGUUUUCAUUUUUCGGAACAAUAUUUAUGUAAAAUAGGAUUUUUAACUGGAUAAACCAUAAUAAAUAAGCUUGACAUUUUACAAUUGCAUACAAUAUUGUACAAUAGCAAAACACAGAAAUUAAAUGUAAGAACACAACGCCCCCAUAAAUAACUUAGUAAGGCAGAACACAAGGAUCACAGUCACUAUGCAAACUUAGGAAUAAUAAAAAAAAGAUAUCAGAAAAGUAAACACGUGCAAAGAAAAUCACUCAAAUCAAACAAAAUGAAAAUCUUACAGUAUACAUACUUAUAAAGUCUUUUUGAAUUGGUGUGUAAAUGCUUUGAAGAAUACUAAAACAAAAAGAAAAUAAUAGCACAACUGUAUUAAUAAAUAUAUAUAUAUAUAUAUAUAUAUAAAUAAAAAAACAAGCCAAAUGAGCACUCACACUUAAAAGAGCUAUGAGAAGCUCAAAUUUAUUAGGUGGAAGACUUGCUAGUUAAUUUUCUCCCAAAUCACAUUUUGUCUGAAUUUUGAGUGAUCAGCAACUUGUCCAAAUGAAAUGGAUGAAUCACGAAACAAACGGAGAGGGCAAUGGACGAACAACUUUGCUUGUUUUAUGGUUUGAAGUUGCAUCUAUGGAGCAAAAAAAAAAAAGAAAAAGAUAAUUCAUGGUAAAUAAAGAUAAUUGAUGGUUAGGGGACAGCAAUACAUGUCAAUUUUAUUUGUAUCAAGUGAAAAGUGACCAACAGAGGGAAAAAAUUAGGACAGGAAAAAAUAAAAAAAUCUAUAUUUACACAGUUUUAGAGCUGAUAAUUUCAAGUGCUCCGCUACUAACCAGGCCUUAGAAGUUACUCCUCAUUACAAACCUGAAAGGUCCAUGUCUCACCAGGGUCGAAUUUCCUCUCUCCAGGAGUAAAUGUUCACUCACCAGUAGCUAGAGCGAGUGGAAAUUUUGAGCUCUGUUUGUAUUUUUAUAUAUUACAUAUUUGCAAAAUAUAAAAUAAAUAUAGUUUUUUUUACAGCUCCUUCUUUUUUUCCUUCUGUUUGUAAAUUCUUCUCAUUUGUUCUGAGAACCAGAUAGCAUGAAAACAUGCCUAGCAUUGUCCUGCACAAUAUAUACAUAAUAGGUCUAUCUUUUAGGACACUCAUUGGUCAAUCUUCAUGCCAGUUUUAUUCAUCUGAAUUUUGUUUCCUGAAAUAAUUGCAUGAAAGAAAUUUAUGCAACCCAAAACGUAUGGGAGAAACCCAAAUUCACCAAACAACUUUUUUUUUUUUCAGACGCAUCUAAUGGGACAAGCAGAUUUUUCUUUGUAUCCAAAUCUGAUGGGUGGUAUAAUCCAUGCCUAAAGAUAUGGGGAAAAGUCUUACUAUAACAUGCAAUACUUAUAGGAGUAACAUAAAAAUCUGAGUUCGGUUUUUACAAGGAAUUAUCGAGAAACUCCAAGCAUCAAAUUUUAUAACUUACAUCAAACUCUACCGGGUGUACACAAUUUAGAACAAUAUAUCAAUCUAUAGGAAAUAGAAAAUAAGAAGAAAGGCAGAAAGAAUAAAAAAACAAUAUUGAAUAACUCAUGGGGUGUUGAGUGGGUACUAAUUUUUAUGAGUGUAUUACACAUUUAUACUUACCCAGGCUACAAUACAUGUAUUCUUUAUUUGAAAUGAUAAUACAAAUUAUGACAGUUUUCCUUUUGCGCAAUCACAUUUGAAUUAAGAUAUUUUGUAAAUUUUAUGAAAUUUACCAUUAAACAACAUACUGGACAUGAGAAAUAAAUUAAAAAAGGACUUGAAAAGGACUUGACAUUACAAUACAGUUUUUAAAAAAUAUAUUUUUCACUCUCUAUAGUUUGCUUAUUCUUUUCAGAAUAUUCACAGAGCUAUCUAAAGGUUUGACAGAUGAAACUAGUACCUGAGGACAUUGCACGUAUAGACACACUAGAACACCAUGUGCCUUUUCACAAGAAGAAUUAGAAUCUUACAGGGCUGUUUAAUAAAUUGAGAGUUCAAGGUGAUUUCCAAAUGAAUUUCAAUUUUAUUUCUGAUUAUUUUGAUAUUAAAUUUGAAAUUCACUUUGAACUGACUGUGAAUUCCUACUUUAGUUAAUAAGCCUGUAGGUCAGUAUUCUUCAGAUUUGUUCUUAAGACCAACCAUACCAGCCAGGAAUUUAGUAUAUUUCUUUUGGUGAAUUCAUUUUAUUUAUUGAACAGUUCAUAUACAACUGUAUUAUCUAGAGCACUGUACAAUUUAUGCAAAAAUAAAAUGCUAAAUUUGAAAUUCUGUCCCGUAAGUGUGUUUGUAGUACAAAAAUCAAAAUAUAAAAUGAAAGUAAAAAUAUUCAAAUGCAUUCAUAUUUUCAAACACAUAUUUGUUACAGCGGUUGCAAAUAGGAAGUGAUUAUUAUUAUUUUUAUUAUCAUUUUUUUUUUUUUUUUGUAAAUAUCUGUUUAUUUCGCCAAUAGGUCCACCCGUCAUUUUUUUUCUGUAUGUGUAAAAUAUAACAUAGAACAGAAUAGUACACAACACGCAGGUCUGUAUCAAUUAAGUGUGGAACCAUGGAACUUGCAGGUUCCUAGCACAUUUAAGCAACACGUGAGACACUCAGAUCUCAAUUGUUAUUGGGUUAGUUAUAGGCAAGUUGAUUAAUAGUUAGUGGAAAAUUGCAAUUAGAGUCUAACAUCAGAAAAUUUUCAGUAACAAUGCUUGUGCUAGGUCGCUACUUCGGUGACCAGUUGGACGCUCGUCCAUGUGGUCUUGGCAUGUGUCUCUCCCACCGUGAGGGUGGAGGAAGUAAUUCUUGAGUUCUAGAGAAACGUUUACAGAGGUUCCAGUCAAAUUCUUUGGUCAUUUUCAAGAUGAUAUAUUUGAAGUGUUAUCAUGAAUCUCUGUCUAGGAUUUGUGUGGGGACAAUGUUUAUUGUAGUUCAUACAGUUUGUCAAUGUGUGGCAUUCACUGCCAUUAUUUUUAAAGAGCACUAUUUGACACAUUAAAUAAUCUUACCAUUUUUUAUUACCAAUGUUAAUUAAUUCUGGCACUGGUUAUCUGGUUAUUUAUGCUGUUUCAAACAAUUGACAAAAUGCUAACAGGUCAAAAUGUAAUUAUUUAAACUUUAGUUCGCCCCCCCCCCUUGUCUAAAAUAUGCAUUGUGGCGUGUAAGCUUUUAUUGUUUUUUUUAAAAUACAUUUUUAAAAUUUAAAACUAUUUUGGCCUUCCUUAUCAUUGUUUGGUCUUUCAAGGGCCGUGACCAUGCAGCGGUCCAGUUUUUCUGUCCAAAGGAAGAUGCCCUUGAAAUGUGUAAGUUUCUGCAACUGGGGAAUUUUUAUAUUAUCAUCCCUCAAUAAAACUAAUUUUUGUUAUAAAUACAACUCUGUUAGUGGCCUGACGUAUGUUUGAAAACUUACAAAUGAAAAUAUCUUCUGACAAGUACAGCUACUUAACAACCAACCUCACAUGACCCAUCUGUGCAGCAUUAUAUAACAUAAUAAUGAUUUAGCUAAUUUAAAGAGUUACUCCAACCAAAAAACUAUAUUUUCAAAAAACACGGUUUUUGGAGUAACCAUUCUGUGAUGGUCUGCCCCCCUUCCAAACUCCCCAAAAAAUAUUAUCUCCUGAUUAUCUCAGGAGAUAAAAUAUACAUCAAACCAAUACCCAGGACAUACUGGAAAAUGAGAGAAAUCUCAAUGUAUCCUUCCUGGUAAAAUAUUUUAUAAAUAAAUAAUUGUUGAGCAAUUCUUUGUCGAAAUGGUAAAUGUGGAACAAUGAGCAGAAACUUGCUAAAACUAUUUCUGUCUCUUUUCCUGGUUUCCAUACAAAAAUGUUUCAUUAAAUACCUUGUCUUAAAUUAAGGAAACAUCAUGAUUGGCCGAAUCAUUUCCUUGUCUUGGCAGAGUUUACUGUAGAAACUGCAAAUCCCAGAGUUUUUCCAGCAAUCACAAUUGAUUUUAAUUUGAAAAUAUUUUUGUAAACAUUUUAUGUUUUUGUAAAUAUGUUAUUUUAUAAAAUACAAUAAUAAGAAUAACCUCAGCCCGAAGUGUCCCUUGCAGCGUAAUAAAAAUAAAAGGAUAAUUUGUACUAUAUCAUGACCAAGUCUUUUUCCAUUAUGUUUAUAUAUGCAGGCAUCUGCAUUUUAAUGGAUAUUUCAGUAUGCUUUUCAAGUAGGGAGGAGCAACUAUCAUAAAUGCUCUAAUGAGUAGCCAGAACCCUCCCUAAUACCCACCAUAUGAGCUUUCAUACAUUGAGCACUACAUUGUCCCCUGUUGCUCUAGAACAGGCAUAGGCAACCUUUGGCGCUCCAGAUGUUUUGGACUACACCUCCCAUGAUACUUUGCCAGUAUUAUAAGUAUAAGAGUAUUGUGGGGGAUACAGUCCCCAACAUCUGGAGUGCCGAAGGUUGCUUAACCCUGCUCUAGAAGAGGAUAUUUUUUGUCUGACCAUUUUUUGGUCUCAGUUUGGUGAGGACCAUUACUGGAGCAGAAGUGAAGGUAUGUGGAUUUUAUUGUGAGGUGUCAUUUUUUAAUUCAUUAAAAAAAAACUAAACAAAAAAACUAUUGAGCAAAUACACUAUUGGUAGUGAAGGGUUAACCCUUUUUGUCAUCAAUGGAAUUUAAUUUAGAGUCUUACUUUAUGUGACAUGCAGUUAUGUGACAAUUAUACAUUUUUUUCAUAAUUGGAAAAAAAAACAGCAAAAAAGAGCCUCUAUUUGUCUUUUUUAUUUACAAUAAUGUUGGAACAAUUCAUCUGAAGAAAACAAUAUCUAACUUUUCUGUACACUCAAUUCUCACCAGAUAUUGGGUAAGGAAAAUGCCAUACAUAUUUAAAUAGAGUGAUUACUAAAUUAAUAGCAGGCACUAAGACAGAUGUCAAAACGUCUUGAAAAUGUUUAUCUGUGAAUAAUUGAGAAGGUGGUAGAGCGCAUUAUCUGAUUGUGUAAUGAAAUAUGUAUGAGGGACAGCUGUUUGAAAUAGUCAUCUCCGUGUUUCAUUAGAAGUGGCCCGAUUUAAACAAGUACUUUAAUGAAGUUGGUGAUUCACUUAUACCAAUAUUGUUCAUGAAUAAUUAAUAGAAUUCGCAGUGCAUCAGAAAUAGGCUUGAACUUGUUGGCAGCCUCUUUGCCCCUGAGUAAGGCUAUGAGUAAUCUUAUUGACUGUUAAAACAUUUUUCUCCUUGCAAAGCACUGCAGUACAUGUCAAGCUGUUGUUGGCAUGAGUGACCCUUUAUGUGCUAAGCUUUGCUCCGUGCAAAAAAAUUAAAGUCUCGUAUAAAUAUUUAAAGGGUUACUUCAAGCACCAUGACCACUGCAUUGAUUCAAAGUGGUCAUGGUACCUGGAGUCUGUAUGUACAGAGUUUUGCUAUGAAAUACUGCAAAAAUGUAGCUUAACCAACUUGCUGCCAGACGUCUACCUCCACCUCUGUCAGCGUCAUGGGGGGGGGGGGUCAUUAGCCAGCCUGGAAUAAGAGGUCUGAGCUGACUAAUGUCAGUCCAUUGCAUAUUUCUAUACACAGAAUACCAUUCAUUGGUUUAGGGCGUUCAACUGAUGCUCUCAGCCAAUGAAUAGAGACGGGAUCAGCAUCUGGUUUGUAACCCAGGUAAGAUGGAAAACUGAUGCUAAAAGGUUUGCCUCAUUACUGAGAUACAAGGCCAGUGUACUCCUAGCACCAUAACCACUAUGGUGGGCUGUAGUGGUUAUGGUCAGGGUUGGAUUUCCCAUAAGGCUGCCAAGGCCAUGGUCUUGAAGCACCACAUGAAAUUUGGGGAGGUCCUGCUGAAACCCUGUAUCGGUGGUGGUACAGCAGGAGUGCUCAGCAGGCCGCGACGUCAGGUCCUGACACCCAGCCAGCAGCCAAAGGAACUGCAGGAGAGUGCCCGGAAAUGAAGUCAGCAUCAAAACCCUGCAUGACCUCCUGAACUUCCAGCUGCCUGCAGGAGGGAAAACUGGUCACAUUCAUCCAUACAAUCACAUACAGCACAUACACCAAACUGGUCACAUUCAUCCUUCCAAUCACAUACACCAAACUAGUCGCAUUCAUCCUUCCAAACACAUAAACCAAGCUUCACAUAUAUGAUGAACUGGGGCACAUUAAGGAAACUGGUCUUGGGGCAUCAAACAGUUUUGGUGCUUUUGGUGAAUCAUCCACCCUUGUUGGUCAGCAUUCAUGAUCUUGCUGAUCAGUCGCAUACUUGCUGCUCUCCGACGAUCGAAGCCCCAAACAGCCUAAAAUCAGCCCCCCCAGACAACUUACCACACUGACAGCCAGGAAACAUCUGCUGAUGGGGAGGAAAACUGAAAAACCGCACCCGGACCAGCCUAGGCAAUCCAUGGUUAUUGGCGAUCUAUUGAGGAGACCUCAUGAUGGGGCCUAACAUGGUGGCCGACAUCGAGGAAUACUCGGACAGCUCGGACGACCUUCCCCUGCACAGCCCUGAGAAUCUGGGAUAUCGUGGGCCUCAUAAGCCCACACAGCCGACAGCGGGACUCCAAGUCACCACAGAUAUACUCACCACUCCCCUCUCAGGUCUGCGCCAGACACUUUCUGCGGACAUCUCUCAAGUACGGGGGGAUGUUAAGGGGUCCACCGCUCGCCUCACGACUGUGGAGGAGAUCACUUAAAUGCAAAUAGCACAGGUGUCAAAGCUCCAGAAGCAGGUCAAAGACCUUACCUCGGCUCACACUACACUCACCCACCAACUAGCAGCUAUGGAGGAUAAGUGGAGGUGGAAGCAUGUUAAAAUUCAAGGCCUCUCUAAAAUCUGAGGCCUUACGUAAACUAAAUAACAAGUUUAUAAUGAUGUGAUUCCAUAGUACAAUUGACUUCACCAACUCCCCACUGUUUCCUGGGAUUUAUUCACCAAACAGUGAUUUGUAGUGCACUAAAAAAAAAUAAUCUUACAAAUGGCAUUCUGCCACCGUAGCGGAGUUAGGUAUUGUCCCAAUUAGCUAUUUUGGUAUAAUUUUUAAAUUUAGUUAUCAUUUUACUAAGAGUCACUGCAAUUAUUAAUCAAUACUACUGUUUAGUGAACAGAUACCCUAUGUGUUGCCAGUUGUUUGACAGCUCACAUUUUAGCGUAUAGAUGCAGAAUACAUUACAUUUUAGCAAAUAAUUAACAGUUAAACAUAUUAUUAUAUUAUAAUUAAUAACGAGCACAUCUACCAAUUUUUUUUGCUUAAGACUGCAGAUAUUCCAGUUUUAUAAUUGGAAUGUUACCUUAAAACCAGUUAUGCUUGGUUGAUAAAUACAAUCCUUUUAAGUUGCAUUAAAUGUCCACUUGUUUUUUUUGGUUAAGUGUCCAUUAUUGCUCUGUGGAUUUUUUAGAAUUACCAUGACCCCCAGGGCUCAGACCGGAACCAGUCCAUAAAUAGCCCACAUAGUGUGAUACUUGGUUAGCGUUCGAUGACAUAAGAAGCUGCUUUGAAUCCUACUCUCUUGGGCAAAGCCACAGCUCAACUUGUAUACAUGCAAAGCCCUGUUCUCCAUUGUGUAAGAAUUAGUAGAGUGUCAGGGAAAGGUGAUGGGAAGUUACUGGGAGGUUAAACCAAAGAAUGUGUCCACACGAUUCUUGGUUCAUGUUAGGGUUACAAGACUAUUGACUCCUUUGUUUUCUUUCUUCAAACAACCCUUUUCCUUCCUAGAAAGGAUGUGCCCAUUUUCUUUACUUUAGUAGCUUUUUUUAUGGGUGUCAUCAGCUGACGGAAUGUUUGUUUUUCUUAUUUUAUGAAAUGGUCCAGUCUAUGGAAAACAAACAGCAUCUCUGCGUCAUUGGAUACAGUCGGGGGUGAGUGGAACUGUCCAUGGGAGGGCCUGAGUUCUAAAUUUGGUUUCAGACAGUCUCGUUAAUGAAACAAAAUACACAAAAUAAUUUCACGUGGUUUAAAAAGUAAAAUACAUUCCUCAAUGACAAAGCACGCAAUAAUUAUUGGAAUGCAAAGGUAACAUAUUGUCCUCCUCUCUCUAUUGCAAGAAAAAUAAUCCUAGACCAAUACGCAUAACAUUUUUAGAAUGUUGCAUGCUUCCUUUAUGGAGUGUGCAUGUGUCUGUAUGUAUGAACAUAUAUAUAUAUAUUUAAUUUAGUUUUACAUUUUUACAAUUUUAAAAUGUUUGUAUUUGUUUAUUUUUUUGAAUUAUAAAAUACAUCUGGUAAAAGACUGAGAAACGAAAACAGGUGCAAAUACUCUGACAGUAGGGAAACCAGGUAACAUGGAAAAGUUUUUUACUUUGGCCAUUCUGCGAUAAAUAUUGGAAUUUAAAAGCUGAUUCCGGUCAAUUAAUUAACAAUUAAAAUGCAUAAACAAGACAGUAAGAUGCACAAGAACAAAGGCCAAUCCCCACUAAGUGAUGCAGAUUAAUGCCUGGUCUAAAAGGUUGUAAAAUCGAAAUAUCUUCAUUUCAAUAUUAUUAAAAUCCAAACAUUUUGUACCUGAGUGACCCAGCAUAGCUGUCCUGAUGUAUUUAAUGAUAGGCCAAGAUCUGUGAAAGAUAAAGAUGUUACCUUCUCAAGAAAUGGUAUCAUAUUUAUCAAUUCUUAAUUAAAAGAUUUACCAGUAUAUUUAUUAUUCAGUAUAUAGAAAUAAAAUUAAAAAAAUAAAAUAAAAAAAAUACCAAAGAAAGUUUUUUUGAUUCAUAAAAAGCUAACUACAACUCUUUAAUCGUGAAAUACUAAAAUAGAAGAACAUUUCAUACAAAGACCAUAACAGAUUAUACAUAGCUGUAAUUUACACCAUCUUCAGAAUUACAUCCAUGAUUAGUCACCCAUACAGAUAGUAAGGAAGACAAGUACGUGCAUGCAAUUUCUAUAUUUAAAAGUAUGUUUAAAUCAGUGGUUUUUAAUCCUUGGUUUGUGACACAAAAAUUGGUCCCCAUGUCACUUACGUGUGUCCUGGCGGCAGGAACAGACAAUGCAUUCAAGAAGUUGUUUAGUGUAGCAACCUUGCUUUUGGCAGUGAAGUGAAAACCCCUAUGAUACAGGGACGAGUAUAGUCAGUAACAGCCAGUUCAUCAAUUCACAACAAGCUCAUAAUUAGUGAGUGAACAGACCUCUAUGUUUUGCUCAUUCAACAAAAAACGCAUAUAUUUUUAUGUGCGUUCUAUAUCUUUGACUCUCUCUGUUAAGACUUAGAUAGAGUGAUUGUACGCCCCCGUUACAUUUUUCUCACUUACCCAACUUUAUAUUUGUUACAUUAUCAUGGAUAUUCAUUCGAAAUUUUAUGUUAAAAGAGCUGAUUUUGAAAAAAUCUCCAAAUCAGCUCUUCUUCACUUUCAUACAUCCCAAGAUUCGUAAUGGACUUUGAUUUUCGGGGUGUGAGGUUGUGGCUUUCGGCGCAGGGCCGGAUUUAUCCUCCAGGGUGCCGCAAGACCAGUUUCCCAAAUGCAUCCCCUCCCACUCUAUAUAUAUGCAAAAAGGCGACUGGUUUGGGGUAUGAUUGAAUGGUGUAUGUAAUUAGGUCAGUGGUUGGAUGAUAAAGGCUGGGAGUGUGUGUGUUUAUAAGUGCGUGUAGGCUGCUUGUGGUGUUGUGUUUGUGGGGGAAAGUUGCUUGUGAAGUUGUAUGUUUGUGGGGUUGCGUGUGUGGGGGUGACUGCUUGAUGUGUUUUGCAUUUGUGAGGGUAAGCUACUUGUGUUGUUGCUUGUUUUUGGAGAUGCUGCUUGUGGGGUUGUGUACAUGUGUGAGGAAGCUGUUGUGGAGUUGUGUACAUGUGUGGGGAAGCUGAUUAUGGGGUUGUAUUUGAGAGGGGAGGCUGCUUGUGUGGUUGCAGGUGUUGAGGGAAUGAUGUUUGUAGGGUUGCAUGUGUGGGCACAAGGCUGUUGUGGGUUUGUGUGUGUCGGUACAUCUGUUUGCUGUGUUGUAUAUGUGUAUAAGUAGGGACUGCAGUGUGUGUGCUGUUGAGCACAGGGGCUUAGGGUGUGUUUGGGGGCAUAAGAACAGAAGGGUGUAUAUGGGCGAUAGGGGCAGUAGUGUUCAUUUGGGAGGAUACAGGUUACAAUGUUUGGGAAUAAAACUGGGGCCUGCAGAGUGCAUGUGGGGCAUCUGGGGCUGUAGUGUAUGUUUAAGGUGGAAAAAGGCUGUAGUGUACAUGUGCAGGGAAUAGGGACAAUAGUGUGCGUUUGGGUCUGGUAGAGGCUGCCGUGUGUGUGUUCAGAAAGAAAGGGGGCUGUAGUGGGGAGUUAGAGAUUAUAGAAGGGUGGAUAGAGGCUUUAGAGCGGGAUAGGGACUGCUCUGGGGAAUAGGGCCUGAAUUAGGGAUAGGGGUUUUAGGUGCAGAUAGGGUAUAUAGUGGGUGGUAGAGGCAGUAGUGGGGUUAUAGUGGCUGUAGUGGACAAAUAAUGGCUGCAGUGGGUGAUAGAUAGUGGCUUCAGUAAAUGGGGGAUACUGGCAAUAGUGGGGGGAUAAAGGCAAUAGAGAUCUUUGAUCUCCCUACCAGCUGUGCCACCCCCUCCUGCCUGCCACCCUGAGGCCUUAUGGCAAAUACAGCCCUGCUUGGGUUGGAGUGUUCUUUCGGUGACUUAUUAAUAAUUUAUGCAACUAAAAUUUAAUUUAGAACAAAAAUGAUGUAUAUUAUUUACACAGACUGAUUUCUAAACACAUUUAUUGUCCUUCAAAUACAUAUUACUGUGGAACUGUUAUACACUCAGACAAACCAGCAAUAUGGAGCUCCUAGGAAAAUGGAACAUUAGGAUAGAAAAAAGGGACCAAAGUAGAUAUUGUUCCUCCUGAAGAGGAACACUUUGGAGCUAAGCAGUCCAGCUAAUUUGGACUAAAAUUUGAAUUUCAGUUUGAAUUCAGUCUGUAUAUUUAUAAAUAUGCAUUUAUUUUAUUUUUCCAUCUAGUAUACUCAAUUGCAGACAGGGGACCAUUUCCAAAAUUAGGUAUUCAGUAUUAAGUGUUUAUUAAUGUCUCAAAAAUUUAAUUUGCCAGUAUAGGAGUGAAAUUUCAUGAUGAGGGAUAAAUUAAGAAGCUUUAAUUGCCAUGGGACAUAAUGAUUCCACUCAUUAUAAUAAUAAUCAUUAUUAUUAAUUAACAAUAUAAUGAAUGAUUACACACUUCAAUAGGAUUUCUCAUAAUUAUAUAUUAAUCACAGAUUUAUUCUUAUUUAUACAUUGUGGGCACCUUGGGAUGUGUCUUAAUUAGCUGCUUUCUAAAAUACAUAGUCAAAUGGCAGACAAUGGUUUUGUGUCCUACAGAAGACCUGGAACUUCAUCUAUAGAGGACCUUGAGACAUUUUUGCCCCAUUGUUCAUCAACCAAUGGUGGGUGUGAAAUGUGCAGAUUGAAUAAAACAUGAACAUGUUUAUAGACACGGAAUGUGGCCUUACAAGCACUAAAUAGAGACAUGGAUUUUCUUCAAAAAUAGAAUAAAUUAGUAAUGUAAAUUAAAUGAAAGACACACGUUUAAGAUCAACAUUUUUGUAGAUGAUCCAAAAAAACAGCAAUUCUCUUAAUAGAUGCAUUUUCUAAUUUUGCUCCAAAAAAUUACCAAAACAUUUUUUAUUAUUACAUGAAGGCAUGAAGACUCUCUGGACCACACUAUAUUAGGGCUCGUGAAUUGGGCAUCCUUCUAUUUUUGACAUUUUUGGCCAGGGGACUUGGAACUAGCUAACCUAACAUUAUUUGUUACUUUUUUUUCUGGCCAGGGGACCAUAUGUCAGGGAAUUCUUGGCUACCACUGUAUAUUUUCUUUAUAUAGGGAUCCAUCAUAGAUAUAUAUAUUUUGGAGUCCAGGCCAACACCCUGGUUUUGCAUCCCUCCCUCUCACAGGUGCCUCACUCUAGGACCCUGUAUUUCAUUGCACUGCAGACGGCAAGUAAGUGGGUUAAUCGCAUAAGAGCAGGCAUUAGGUUGCUAGGACAGGACCUGCCAAAAAUUGGUUACAUUGAUGUUGUGGCAGGCUUAUGCAAUGCAUGAUCAUAUACUGUAAAUAUAUAUAUAUAUAUAUAUAUAUAUAUAUAUAUAUAUACAUAUAUAUAUAUAUGGUGAUAUCCUGGUAAAGACCUAACAGUGCUUUGCUCUGUUACUUCAUUUAAGAUUUUUUAUUUCUCUUAGUAAUAGUAAUACACACAUUAAAAAACAAGCAAAAAAAACCCCAAAACAACAAAAUAGAGAAAAGUAUCUUUAAACUAACCGUAUCAUACACCAGUGUAUCCUACAUCCGAACAGCGAUAAUGAAAUGUCAUGCUAGAAGUUGUGCAGUUCGAAGUGGAAUUCCACCCUUGUAAUGAAAGCACCAAACAUAUUUACAUUUUAAUGGUAAAAUUAAAGGUACCGUAAUUGAAUUAAUAAGUUCAAUUAAAUGAAAGUUAUUUUCGGGCAUAAAUAACGUUCUGGCUUCUGGAAUCAGUGCUUCUCUGAGAGAAGCAUUGGAUUAGAAGACUGUGAUGAUUGCAUCACAUGCACAUCUGAUUGGGCACAAAUUAUCCAGCUUGACGAUCUUGCAGGAGGACUAUCGGGCCGCAUUGAGGAGUCUGCCCUAGAUGUGUAAUAAAAAGUUUAUUGACAAUAUUAAUUUUUUUUAUUUUUUUUAAAAAGGGGCAAUAAAGAAAGUGCAUAUUUAUUUUUUUAAUUAGAAUGUCCUUUUAACAAAUAUAAUGACAUUUAAAUAUGUGACCAUAUAUUUUUCAAUAUGUUCAUUAAUGUUUUUUUUUUUUUUACAUAUACACAUGUGUUGUGUAAGAAAUAAAAGAUAUUGUCAUAUUUUUGGAAAAUGCUUUGACUAUCAGAACCAAGAAAUUAUGCUAUUUAAGUAAAAAGUGCCAUUAAAAAAAACCCAAAAAAACACAUGGUUGGGCUGACAACAAUCAUUUUAAAAGAAAACAAUAUAUUUGCACGCUGAGAGGAUGUCUUUCUUUUUAAUAUAAUUUAAUAAUGUUUUCUUACAUUUUUUAGCAUGAGAAAAGGAAAACGUCUAGCAGUGAUUUGGGUGGAUUAAUCCAAGCGGAGACUGCAUCCUGUUUGCAAUAGCCAUCCUAAUUCCCAGCCUUGUAAUUGACAACCGUUGAGAAGAACUCUGACUGAAGCUGUUACAGUAAAAUGUUUUUGAAUUGUACCAAUAAAAUUCUGCUCUAAUCUAUUGCUAAAUAUUUUGCUACAAAGUUGUAGCUAUUACGGACAUUUUACUAUUGGGAUUCUAUUCAGAAGUUUAAUAAAACAAACACACAAGUGUGUCAGAUAUAAUAAACGUGCAAUUAUAUUUGCUGUCGGAGAGUUCUGAAUGGAGUUUUAAGGGUUUUAACACAGGUCUAGCAGGUGUGCUAAGACACUGUCUCCAUUUAAGUUCGUGCCUACUCUUGGGUCGAUUGAAAAUUACUGAUUGUCCAACUGAAGAUAAAGAUCAUGAAAACACACUUUGCCUUUUUUUAUAUUAGUUGUUCUAUAAAUAGGAAUGACCUUGAAGAUGGUUGAAUGUUUAAAAAUAUUCCACAAUAUUAAAAAAAUAUAUAUAUAUA
rnacentral:lncRNA from 1 species